UCUCCGUAGGUGAACCAGCGGAAGGAUCAUUAUCGUGUAGCCGAGGUGGGAGUGCUGUCGCUGACUUGAGAGGUCGUGCACGCCCGACUUCCCUCACACACCUCCAUCUCACCCCUAUGUGCACUACCGCAUGGGUCCCCCUGUGGCAUGUUCGGAGGGGGGCUUACGUUCGAACUCAACCGAUGUCUGCAGUGUAGAAUGUAUUAUCUGUGUGUGCGCUAACGCAAUCAAUACAACUUUCAACAACGGAUCUCUUGGCUCUC
rnacentral:misc_RNA from 1 species